rnacentral:rRNA from 1 species
GGGGGGGGCAAGCGUUGUUCGGAAUUACUGGGCGUAAAGGGCCAGUAGGCGGCCAACUAAGUCCGACGUGAAAUCCCCAGGCUUAACCUGGGAACUGCGUCGGAUACUGGAUGGCUUGAAUUCGGGAGAGGGAUGCAGAAUUCCAGGUGUAGCGGUGAAAUGCGUAGAUAUCUGGAGGAAUACCGGUGGCGAAGGCGGCAUCCUGGACCGACAUUGACGCUGAACGGCGAAAGCUAGGGGAGCAAACGGGAUUAGAUACCCCGGUAGUCCUAGCCCUAAACGAUGAAUGUUUGGUGUGGCGGGUAUCGAUCCCUGCCGUGCCGAAGCUAACGCAUUAAACAUUCCGCCUGGGGAGUACGGUCGCAAGGCUGAA